UGGGGAAUAUUGGACAAUGGGCGCAAGCCUGAUCCAGCCAUGCCGCGUGAGUGAUGAAGGCCCUAGGGUUGUAAAGCUCUUUCACCGGUGAAGAUAAUGACGGUAACCGGAGAAGAAGCCCCGGCUAACUUCGUGCCAGCAGCCGCGGUAAUACGAAGGGGGCUAGCGUUGUUCGGAUUUACUGGGCGUAAAGCGCACGUAGGCGGACUUUUAAGUCAGGGGUGAAAUCCCGGGGCUCAACCCCGGAACUGCCUUUGAUACUGGAAGUCUUGAGGAUGGUAGAGGUGAGUGGAAUUCCGAGUGUAGAGGUGAAAUUCGUAGAUAUUCGGAGGAACACCAGUGGCGAAGGCGGCUCACUGGACCAUAACUGACGCUGAGGUGCGAAAGCGUGGGGAGCAAACAGG
rnacentral:rRNA from 1 species